rnacentral:tRNA from 1 species
UAUUAGCUCAGCUGGUAGAGCAUCCGACUCUUAAUCGGCAGGUCCAGGGUUCGAAUCCCUGAU